rnacentral:rRNA from 1 species
UUGAAACUAAUGAGCUUGAGUAUAGGAGAGGAAAGUGGAAUUCCCAGUGUAGCGGUGAAAUGCGUAGAUAUUGGGAGGAAUACCGGUGGCGAAGGCGACUUUCUGGACUAAAACUGACGCUGAGGCACGAAAGCGUGGGUAGCAAACAGGAUUAGAUACCCUGGUAGUCCACGCCGUAAACGAUGAACACUAGGUGUCGGGAGGAAUCUCGGUGCCGGCGCAAACGCAAUAAGUGUUCCGCCUGGGGAGUACGUUCGCAAGAAUAAAACUCAAAGGAAUUGACGGGGACCCGCACAAGUAGCGGAGCAUGUGGUUUAAUUCGAAGCAACGCGAAGAACCUUACCUAAGCUUGACAUGGGGAUGAAAAAUAAUGUAAAGUUAUAAUAUCACUUCGGUGAACAUCCCACACAGGUGGUGCAUGGUUGUCGUCAGCUCGUGUCGUGAGAUGUUGGGUUAAGUCCCGCAACGAGCGCAACCCCUAUUAAUAGUUGCCAGUGAGUAAAGUCAGGCACUCUAAAAAGACAGUUAGGGAUAACCUAAAGGAAGGUGGGGAUGACGUCAAAUCAUCAUGCCCCUUAUGCUUAGGGCUACACACGUGCUACAAUGGCCAUAACAAAGAGAAGCGAGAUCGUAAGAUGGAGCAAACCUGAAAAAAAUGGUCCAAGUUCGGAUUGUGGGCUGAAACUCGCCCACAUGAAGUCGGAGUUACUAGUAAUCGCAAAUCAGAAUGUUGCGGUGAAUGCGUUCCCGGGUCUUGUACACACCGCCCGUCACACCAUGGGAGCUGAGGGCACCCGAAGUCAGUGAUCCAAC